UACGGAGGGGCUAGCGUUGUUCGGAAUUACUGGGCGUAAAGCGCGCGUAGGCGGACCUGCAAGUCGGGGUGAAGCCCGAGGCUCAACCUCGGAACUGCCUUCGAUACUGCGGGUCUCGAGUCCGGGAGAGGUGAGUGGAAUCCGUAGUGUAGAGGUGAAAUUCGUAGAUAUUAGGAAGAACACCAGUGGCGAAGGCGGCU
rnacentral:rRNA from 1 species